rnacentral:rRNA from 1 species
GCCUCAGUAACGGCGAGCGAAGCGGCAAGUGCUCAGAUUUGAAAUCUGGCCCCCUCCGGGGUCCGAGUUGUAAUCUGUAGGGGAUGCUUCGGAGUCGGGCCCGGUCCAAGUCCCCUGGAACGGGGCGUCGCAGAGGGUGAGAAUCCCGUCCGCGGCCGGCGCAAGUCUCCGUGCGAAGCUCCUCCGACGAGUCGAGUUGUUUGGGAAUGCAGCUCUAAAUGGGAGGUAAAUUUCUUCUAAAGCUAAAUACCGGCCAGAGACCGAUAGCGCACAAGUAGAGUGAUCGAAAGAUGAAAAGCACUUUGGAAAGAGAGUUAAAAAGUACGUGAAAUUGUUGAAAGGGAAGCGCUUGCGACCAGACUCGACCGCGGUGGUUCAACCCUCCCAGCGGAGGGCCCACGCCGCCGUGGUCGGGCCAGCAUCGGUUCCGGCGGUCGGAGAAAGGCUUGGGGAACGUGGCUCCCUUCGGGGAGUGUUAUAGCCCCUCGCGCAAUGCGACCUGCCGGGACCGAGGACCGCGCUCCGGCAAGGAUGCUGGCGUAAUGGUCGUAAGCGGCCCGUCUUGAAACACGGACCAAGGAGUCUAACAUCUGUGCGAGUGUUCGGGUGUCAAACCCCUGCGCGUAAUGAAAGUGAACGGAGGUCGGAGCCCUCGGGCGCACGAUCGACCGAUCCUGAUGUCUUCGGAUGGAUUUGAGUAGGAGCACAGCUGUUGGGACCCGAAAGAUGGUGAACUAUGCCUGAGUAGGCCGAAGCCAGCGGAAACGCUGGUGGAGGGUCGCAGCGGUUCUGACGUGCAAAUCGAUCGUCAAACUUGGGUAUAGGGGCGAAA